UACGGAGGAUGCAAGCGUUAUCCGGAUUUAUUGGGUUUAAAGGGUGCGUAGGCGGAAAAUUAAGUCAGUAAUGAAAUCCUGCAGCUUAACUGUAGAACUGUUAUUGAUACUGAUUUUCUUGAAUACAGUUGAGGCAGGCGGAAUGUGUAAUGUAGCGGUGAAAUGCUUAGAUAUUACACAGAACACCGAUUGCGAAGGCAGCUUGCUAAACUGUGAUUGACGCUGAGGCACGAAAGCGUGGGUAG
rnacentral:rRNA from 1 species